ACGGAGGAUCCAAGCGUUAUCCGGAUUUAUUGGGUUUAAAGGGUGCGUAGGCGGACCCGUUAGUCAGUGGUGAAAGUUUGCAGCUCAACUGUAAAACUGCCAUUGAAACUGCGGGUCUUGAGUGUAAAUGAGGUAGGCGGAAUGUGUUGUGUAGCGGUGAAAUGCUUAGAUAUAACACAGAACACCAAUUGCGUAGGCAGCUUACUGGGAUACAACUGACGCUGAGGCACGAAAGCGUGGGGAUCAAACAG
rnacentral:rRNA from 1 species